GACGAACGCUGGCGGCGUGCUUAACACAUGCAAGUCGAACGGAAAGGCCCUGCUUUUGUGGGGUGCUCGAGUGGCGAACGGGUGAGUAACACGUGAGUAACCUGCCCUUGACUUAGGGAUAACUUCAGGAAACUGGGGCUAAUACCGGAUAGGAGCUCCUGCUGCAUGGUGGGGGUUGGAAAGUUUCGGCGGUUGGGGAUGGACUCGCGGCUUAUCAGCUUGUUGGUGGAGUCGUGGCUUACCAAGGCUUUGACGGGUAGCCGGCCUGAGAGGGUGGACGGCCACAUUGGGACUGAGAGACGGCCCAGACUCCUACGGGAGGCAGCAGUGGGGAAUAUUGCACAAUGGGCGGAAGCCUGAUGCAGCAACGCCGCGUGCGGGAUGACGGCCUUCGGGUUGUAAACCGCUUUCGCCUGUGACGAAGCGUGAGUGACGGUAAUGGGUAAAGAAGCACCGGCUAACUACGUG
rnacentral:rRNA from 1 species